UACGGAGGGUGCAAGCGUUGCUCGGAAUUAUUGGGCGUAAAGGGUAGGUAGGUGGUCUCGUUUGUCUGGGGUGAAAGCCUUGAGCUUAACUCAAGAAGUGCCUCAGAAACGGCGAGACUAGAGUUCUGGAGAGGGUCGUGGAAUUCCCGGUGUAGCGGUGAAAUGCGUAGAGAUCGGGAGGAACACCAGAGGCGAAGGCGGCAGCCUGGUUGGCUCCUGACGCUCGGACACGACAGCAUGGGGAGCGAACGGG
rnacentral:rRNA from 1 species